CCGAGCUGGCCGGGCAGGGGCUGGCGGUGCAGGCGCUGGGGGUGGAUCUGGCCGACCGCGCGGCGAUCUUCGCCCUGCUCGAGC
rnacentral:tRNA from 1 species